GCUCAGCAGGGAGGAGCCCCGCUGGGAGCUCCCUGCGCUUGCCUUCCUUGUUGAGCUCCUCGACUAUCUGGAUGGGAGAAAAUGUCAUGAGAGUGUCCUGCCUAUCCUAGCAAGGCACCUGCACAGCCAGUGCCCUGAGAGCCGACGCCUGGCACUCAGAGGCCUCCUUGUGCUCAGUGUGGAUCCCUCAAUGGCCGACAGCAUCUGCACCCUUUCUGAGCACCUCGUGGAGCUGCUUCAUGAUGGAGACGGAGAUGUGGUCGAGAUGACCCUCUCUGUGUUCCUGAAUAUGCUCCAGGACAAGGACAUCGAAGAAUUCAGCUCCACUGCCCCAAAGCUGGCUGAGGCACUCCGGCCACUCUUUGAUAACGACAAUACCCAUGUGCAGAUGCUCUCCAUUCGUCUCUCCCAAGUGGU